GAUGAACGCUAGCGGCAGGCUUAACACAUGCAAGUCGAGGGGUAGAAGGAGCUUGCUCCUUUGAGACCGGCGCACGGGUGCGUAACGCGUAUGCAAUCUACCUUUUGCAGAGGGAUAGCCCAGAGAAAUUUGGAUUAAUACCUCAUAGUAUGUGAGGAUGGCAUCAUUUUCACAUUAAAGUCACAACGGCAAAAGAUGAGCAUGCGUCCCAUUAGCUAGUUGGUAAGGUAACGGCUUACCAAGGCUACGAUGGGUAGGGGUCCUGAGAGGGAGAUCCCCCACACUGGUACUGAGACACGGACCAGACUCCUACGGGAGGCAGCAGUGAGGAAUAUUGGACAAUGGCGCAAGCCUGAUCA
rnacentral:rRNA from 1 species